AGUGACAUCCUGGCUCAAGCACAGCAUCAAACUUCCCGAACUGUUCUCUAAUGGCCACUGUAGACUGAUCAACUUGAACACAGCAGAACAAAUUGCCCAUAGCUGCAGUCCUUAGAUAGCUUCCGGCCGUACCUGAAUGUUCAUACAUCAUAAAGCCGAUUUAGUGAUGAUAAAAGCAUCAAUAGGCACAAAAGUAAAUGCUAAACUGCUACUGCCACUUUGUUUAAAAAUUAAAACCAAAAGGACAAACGACUAAACGAGAAGACAGGAUCCAGUUUAAAUUUCUCCUUAAGCACAUAAUUUAGUCAACAGGCAAUAAUACACUCAAGCAGAGUCAAAUACCAAAACCAAACAGUGACUGAGAAAACCAAAUGAUCAUACAUAAAUCACGCAGGUCUGAUCAUUUUUUUUAAUAUAAGGUAGUUUCUGCAAUUUAGUUCCCAACAGUCCAUUAGCCUGCAGAAUGCUUUUACAAAAAAAAAUAAAAAAAUAAAAAAACAUAGAUGACUGUUGUAACAAAGCACUUGUAAAAUUUACAAAAACAUUGACGCUUGAGCACAUGUUGCACAUCAUUCCAUCAAUUAGCAUUCCUAGAUUAGAGACAGUCUUAGAGUAAACCUUUAUUGACGUGUGCUUCAGAAGUUGUAUGAUAGCUAAAUUGAUUGAGACGAUGAAAUAGUUAUACCAAACAAGUCUACAAAUCUACAUACAAUCCAACUAUUUACUGUAAAUUUCAACAACUUUUGAUGCUAAAUUUCAUUAUCUCAUCAAAGAAAACAUUAGUCUUCAGUCUUGGAGGAAAAAAAAAGUAUGUUGUCCGCAAAUUUGCUUAUCCAACAAGGCCAGAUUUUUUAAAAAAUUUCAGAAACAUAAAUCUUGCUCUAACGCAAAAGAAGUCCAAUAGCUUGAAAAUCUUACAAGGUUCAGGUUUUAUGUAUUAUCCAUGAAUAUGAACAGACUUCUUCUUUUUUUUAGAGAGAGAAAUAUGCAAGGACUUCUCUGUACAAUAGAUGAAAACAGGAUAGCUAGGGAACUAAAAACACUAAGAUUAAUCGCAUCACACCAUAUAGAAUGAAAAUAGAACUUGAACGAAGUAUGCAGGAAUGUCUCAAGCAAAGCAAACAAUGGAAGAUUGCAAUAGAACUUGCCUGGGCUGAAACUUGAACGUGGAAGGGCAAGAGAGAAUAGCCAGCUGGUAUCAGGAUAUGCCUAAAUGAGACACUAUGACAGGGUGGUGUUGUUUAUCAGGAAGGGAAGGUAGCAGCACAUUUUGCUGUAUCCUGUUAAAUUAGUUGGUCCACUUUAUCUGCUUUUACAAUGGACCAACACAAAGAAGAACCAAUCAGCUGUGGCAUGUGGGUGUGGAUCAACCCAAACAUUGACUGAUCCCCAUUUGACCACGGCGUAUAUAUCACUGUCUGGACUGUCAAGUGGAUGCAGGAACUACUAAUAAAUUGGCAGCCGAUUGCGUACGAAAUGUUCAGAGAUGUUUUGGUAUGAAAUUGCGUGUAUAGACUUGAUGCAAAGUCAUAGCUACAUUCCUAACAGAAAAAAGCUCGAUAAUUUCGGCGACAAGCAUGCGUGCAAUGCCUGUAACUAUCACAGGAGAAGAAAAAAAAUGGCGCUACGUUCCAGUAGGGAGGAUAUAUCUGGGGAAAUUACAAGCACUUACCUUUCAUAGGAGUGAAAGAUCAGCAUAAGAAAAAAAAAACACAGGGAAGGCUAGACCCAUUAUUGCUACUUGUUGUCCAAAUCAACGAGAUAAUAAUAAUUGCUGCCUUUUUCGAUUUUUUUUCUUUUAAGUUUUAUAACGAGUAUGAGGAAAUUGCAGUGGAUAGAGACAGAGUGAGUCCACUAGACUUGGCAGCAGACAAGGAGGGAAACAGUGUGCGGGGAGAGAAGGAUAAGACCAAAUCGAAUGGAUAUUUUGGUUAGCGUAAAGCGAAAGGGCAAGUGGCAAAAGAGAGAAAAGAAAGAAACAAGGGAAGAAUUGAAUCGAGGAUCGUUUUGGUGAGGACUUAGCACCGCCGAAUUGAAGGGGAAAUCUCCUGCCAAAAUUGAAGAAGAAGAAGAAGAAACAGAAGGGAAGAUGAGGGGGCAGAGAGAACGAGGCCACGCGUAUAACCAAAACACAAGGAAGCAGCGAGCUACAGAGAGUGUGUGUGUGUGUGUGUGUCUGACUGUAACCUAACCUAAGAAAUCGAGAAUGCAGAAUUGAGGAACAGCAGCAGCAAUUGCAGGGAUCUUGCACAAUAUUAGGCAUCUAGGAAGGAGAGGAGUCAGAAAAAGGAGGGAUUUUGGGGUUACCUUGGUGCCGGGUGGAUCGAGGAGGAGCUGUGCAACUUCCACUUGUGUCUUAAUUUGUUCCUCUAGUGGACUACUCGUCGUAUAAAUAAGGACGGCGCAGCCUUUGGUCCGAGGAACUCGAGGGGAUUCUCACAAGAAAAAGGAAAGAAAAAAUGAUCUCUCUCUCGUCCGGCUUCGGCUUGUGUGUGUUUUACCUGUGCAGCUUGAUGAGCCUUUGACGGACCUUACGGAGUUCCCGUCGACAGAGACGUCAGGUAGACACAGUAAAACCAGACGGAAAGAACGAUGGGCGGAAGACGAUCAUCCCCUCCCAUGGCAUAUAGCCCUCUUUGCUUUCCUUUUUUCUUUAGCCUCCUUUACUUUUUGGGAUAACCUUUUUUUCUCCUUCAACCAUAAAUUCAUCCAUAAAAUCGAAUAUAACGUUUCUCCCAUCUUUAAAAAUCGGUGCAAAUCGACUCCUAUAGAAAAUUGACCCACAUAUCAACGACUUCUCAUCACCUAUCUUGUUUCUCAUCCUCCCUCUCUCUCUCUCUCUCCUCUCCUUCCUGUGGCACAUCAAGAAGAAGGUUCGAGGUGUCAUAUCUAGACGACCAUCCCUCUCCCACCCCCACCCUCUCCCCCUUCACCCCAUAAUUAACGGCAGUGGAGUGAGGAUGGGAUCAUGGGAAUGCCUAUCUUGGUGGCUUAGGCUCAGAGACGGCAAUAACAACUUCCUUGGAAUGGGCUAGCGGUGGAUAUCAAGCCAGCACGGCUUAGCUCGGCUCGAUCUAGCUUGGUAGGAUAACUAGCUGAGGCUCGUUAUCCAAACGAGCUAUAAGGCAGGCUCGGCUCGGCUGCCGGCUCGAGCCAGCUCGUUUAGCUCGUGAGCCCGAACAAGAUAUCAAAGUCAGGAUGGAGCAAGAUACAUCAAAGUAUGAUUCAAGUAAUACGAUUCAUAUCCAUGUGAAUAUGUCCCAUCCAUUCAUCCAUAGAAUGGAAGUAUUGAACACAACAAGACUAAAUGGAUCCAAAACCAUCCAAGAAAUCUUCAAAAGAUUAAAAAACAUAGAGAAGCCUGAAAUCUCCCCAUAAAAAGGCUAACACAACAACACCGAGAUCUUUCACCAUAAAAAGAAAUGUCGGAAAUUAAGCUUCAUACUGUGAAGGAGAAGUAGAGAGCAGAAAGCUUCCUUUAUUCAUUCCUGCUCCAUGGCCAUGGCGGACAAAGAUGCAUGGCCGGCGGCCGCACGGGAUGGAGGCAGAGCGCGACACGGGGUGGAGGCAGGGAGCGGCGCCGUGCGGGACGGAGGCAGGGAGCGCGACACAAGGUGUAGGUGCGCGCAGCCGCAAGGCGGGACGGCGGACGGCGGACGGCGACUCGGUCUGGAUUGGAUCGAUGGUUAGGAGAAGGGGAGGAGAUAUUUUUCUGUUGAUUUCUCUGUAGGCUGUAGCUCUCGAUUGAUUUUUCUAUUGAUGGAUGCACGGGAUGGAGGAAUUUUUUUUCAUUUUUAAAUUUACUUUUUUUAAUAUUUACAGAAAUAUUACGUCGGUGGAAAGAUUUAAAAAAUAGACCCUAUCUUUCUCCAUUUGGGCGGCAAGCUA
rnacentral:lncRNA from 1 species